GGGGCCGGGAUGGAAGACUGGGAUGGGAUGUAAUGGGGCCCCAGCAGCAUGUUGCCAGGCAGUGCUGUACAGGAGCCUCCAGCUCCCGCCUGACCCUGCUGCAAUUUCCCCAGCUGAUGGCUUUCAGCAGGAUCUCAGGCUCCUUUGAGGAGGAUGGUGUGGAGGGAAGGCAAAUAACAGGGCCAUUAGGGGAUCUGGCGGAGAGGGAGGAGAAAUUAAAUGGGAGCACUCUGAAGGGAAUGAACAAAAACUGUGGGGAAUGGAUUAAAUAUUCAGAGAAGUUAUUCAUGGAGACUGGGCCAUGCAAUUGGGCAUGCUGUUGGAUCAGAUGUGCAAAUUGAGCUGGUACUUUGUGGGAUGGCUCCAUGCAAUUUCUCUCUCAUGCGUUUUCUGUUUAAGAACAACCAUAGGAAAAUUUUGCUGCUUUGCUGACCGAGGCGUAGGGAGAAAAACUUUCUGUGUAUUGAGCUGUACCACGAACGUCCGAAGAACAGCAGGGAGCAGGCUGUUAGGCAAAUCGGAGCUGGGACAUUCGGCUGUGAUGCAGCUCUCUCACACCAGUCCUUUGACCACGGCUGUUAUUGCACCUGCAUAGGGAGGCUGCAACUUCAAAGGCAACACAUGAAAGGGAGAAAAACCCCAGUAAAUUUAGGGAUUUGAUUAUUUGUGUAAAUCAUCAUAGAUACGACAUCUUUCUUUGAUGUAGCCAGCGCAGCAAAAGGUUGGAAGGUCAUACUUGAAUGUAAACUGCUUUCCAGCUCCAGCACUUGAAUGUAAACUGCUUUCCAGCUCCAGCAUUGAUCCUCCUCCAGAGCAAGGUUCUGCUGCUGUGGUUUCCCCCCUCGUUCCUCCCCACUUCCAGAGUUUCCAUACAGAGCUCCUGCUCAUUUAUUACUUAUGCAUCUUCUGGAGAGAGCAGUCCCAAGAGAUGCUGAUGAACAGCCCAGUCUCUCUUUUGGCAUCCUCAGGGCUUCAAACUAACCCUCCAAAUAUGAAUUAUAAGGAUAUUUCAAUGAAGCUUCAAUGUGCAUGCUGAAAUCUCCUGAGAACUGAGCUAGAGGCACCACAAUAAAGUGAUGGGUUUUCCAAAAUCAGGUUCCUGCUGGAAACAGGUGCCCUGAACCUGGGAGAUGCAAACUGGGCUCCUCUCUGUGCUUACAGGCAGCCCAAUGCUGAAUGUCACUCUGAUCUCCAGACUCACCCAGAUCAGAGGGAGCAUAUUGCUUUUAAAUCAAUAAAUGGUAAAUUAAAAAGCUUGGCAUUCAGAACUUUACAUUAAAAGUAUCUGCUGUUUUAAUCACACUUGAUCAAGAUAACUGUAGCUCAUUUGCUUGCACUAAUUAGCUGGGGCACUGUUAUCAGUGUCUACCAAAUAACGUAGUGUUCUAUCUAGGAAAAGUCUGCAUUAAAGGAACUGGGUAAAAUCCCACAUUGCUGGUC